rnacentral:lncRNA from 1 species
AGGCACAAUCUCAUCAUAAUCAAGCAUAAAUAAUUUAUCUUCUAAUAGAGUCAGCUUCUACAAUGGCAUCUCUCUGAAUGGACACCCUAGAGUUGAUACUUGAAUUUUUAGCAAAUGAAGAUUGCAGCAGCAGCACCCAAGAACAGGAAGUAGGAUCCAAGCAUCUCAUGAACCUGUCAUGGAGGUAUUCUCUGGACAAGAAAGACCUUUCAACACCUCUACUUGAAGAAGGACAGAAAUUUCUUCCCUCUAAAAAGAAUCUAAAACCUGCUUCCAAAAAGGAGUUUGUAAGCCAGGGAGAAACAGCCCCAAGCAUGCAAACAAACAUCCAAAAUAGCAAAGUAAAAUGACAUUGAAAGGUGACCAUGCCAGGAGUGCCAAGGAGCUUAAGAAAGUCGUCUUGGGGAGGCCUUGAAGCGAGGUCUCCUACCAAGUUCCCUGCAGUGCCUUGAUCACAUGGGCUGGAUUUUGGAAGUGUAUCUGCCUCCUUGUUCCUGGCCAACCAUCCCCUCAGCCAAAACCAACUGGGACACAGGAAUGUCUUCCAAAGGAGUGUGAAUGUUACAAUUGGCCCCUUUAUGAGCCUUCCUGGAAGUCCGGUGGUGCUCCAGCCCCCGGCUGGGAUUCACAAGCUGCGAUGAGCCUCUGACAUGAACUAGUUGUUCUUCCAGGCCAGGACUCAGCCCCUGGAAAGUGGAAAAAUGCCCCUGAGACAGAUGGGAGCAGUUCAAGAAGACAGGGUGGGAUGUAGCCAUGGGCCAGAUCCCUUCAGAGGAAGGACAAACAUGGGGUCACUGAUUUGGUGUGAAAUAAGAGCAAAAGUACCUGCUGACUAGUUUCACAGAACAGUGAGCCUCUUGUAGUGGAAAGAAAUGAGGAGAAUUCAACUUCGCAACUGCCCAGGUCUGGGUAAGACUUAGGCUGCCUGGGACCAAGAUGCUGACUUACUCAUUGGCAUUUCCGCCAUCACCGGGCUCUCGAUGAACCCCUUGCAAAGCAUAUUUGGGAUUAUUUGAGUUCUCAGACUCUGAAAGACCAGUGUUUCGUGGCCCAUAUUAAGCAUGACACUUUGGGCAAAGAAUUGACUUAGCUAUAUAUGGUUUAUUCCCACUUGUGAAUUGAAUCAUGGUUAAUUUAGCUUAUUGGCUUUUAACAAACAUGAGUAAAACCCAGUUCUUUUCCUUUAGGUACGUACAGUCUGGGAAAGGACGAUGGAUAUGGACUCAAGCAAUCAAAAUGGCAGAACAUGAUGAUGAACUCACAAAGGCCAAUGGGAAACACAGGAGAAUGGGUGCAAAAUUCAAUUCUUAAAAUCAAGAGGGCUUCACAGAGUUGGAGGUGUUUGAACUGAGAUAUAAAUUGUAUCAUGUGAGAGGGAAGCAGACAGUGCCUAUCUCCCCCAACCUUCAGAGACUCCAAAAAUGAAUAUACACAUGAUUAUGUAGUUACAAUGGUGGUGUUUACCUGGAAAAUACAUUUUACACAUAAGACCUUGGUCUUUGAUAAUCACUUAAUACCAUGACAAUGUCCAGGGAUCUGAUAUAUCUCAAUAGUCUUGUGUUAGUCACUCAUGAAAACCCAACUAAGGUAUGAUAAACACCAUGUUAACCUCUGCUAGAGAAAACACAUAGACCGUAGACAGAAGUUAAAGGUGCUUGCAUUGACUUUCAGACAGAAAACUUCCACAGCUUUGGAACAAUUUUAACAUCUUCAAUAUCCUCAAAACACAAUGUUUUACAAAGGGAUAGUCAGGCUGAACUGAUUUCAGAUCCUCAUUCUGCCAAUGUGGCAUGUGUCCUCUGGAGCGGGCUACCAAAUUCUCCAGACCCGCAUUUCUUCAGAUGGGAAAUGGUGAUGUAUAUACUCACCACACAGGGUUGUUAUAAAGAGUAGACAGUGAUGCUUGUAAAACCCCAGCACAAUCAGGCCCACACUACAGGCUGCCACCCCUUCUAAAACAUCAGAGUUAUGAUUCAUUUUUUUAAAGGUUUUACGUAUUUAUUCAGGAGAGACACAGAGAGAGAGGCAGACACAUAGACAGAAAGAGAAGCAGGCGCCCUGCGGGGAGCCUGAUACGGGACUUGAUCCCAGGACCCCGGGAUCACACCCUGAGCCGAAGGCAGACACUCAACCACUGAGCCACCCAGGUGCCCCUUGACUCUUGAUAGGCUUAAUUCAAGCUAUCUGUCCUGAUCCCCUAUCUGAGUGCUAUUGUUCUUACUUCCUACCUCAACUUCCGCUUGUGUAGAAGUAUAACCCAAACUCCCUGGAUUUGUCUAAGUUUCAUGUAAGCUCUGGGCUAUGGCUAACUGAGCCACACAUGACUGUGUGGAGGCUGCAGCCACUAGGAAAAUUAGCUUACUCCCUCCUUCACUCUCUUACCAGUUUCCCACUGGCAACUCCCCCAGAUAUUCUCUCCAGAAAGAGCUCUCAUCUAGUUACUAUAAUACAUUUUUAUCACCUCUCAUCACCAGAAUUUGAGAGUAAAGAGAGCCAGAGCAGGUCAAAGGUUUUGAUUUGUAUAGGCCUAGAUCAAGCUGCAGGAAAGUCCAGAAUUUUAUGGUAUUGAGAGAACCUACUCUCAGAAAGUUGGUCCCACAAUGACUGUAUCAGCCCACAUCACCCUGUCAAUAAAUUUGUUAGUGCAGGCA